rnacentral:rRNA from 1 species
UGUCCUACGGGAGGCAGCAGUGAGGAAUAUUGGUCAAUGGGCGCGAGCCUGAACCAGCCAAGUAGCGUGAAGGAUGACGGCCCUAUGGGUUGUAAACUUCUUUUAUAUGGGAAUAAAGUUUGGUAUGCAUACCAUUUUGUAUGUACCAUAUGAAUAAGGAUCGGCUAACUCCGUGCCAGCAGCCGCGGUAAUACGGAGGAUCCGAGCGUUAUCCGGAUUUAUUGGGUUUAAAGGGAGCGUAGGCGGAUUAUUAAGUCAGUUGUGCAAGUUUGCGGCUCAACCGUAAAAUUGCAGUUGAUACUGAU